UUGCCUCCAUAGUUAAUUAUAAAACAUAAAGUGAAAACAAACAUUGUCCACUGCUAACAUUUUUAUUCAGACCUAAAUGUGAUAUAAAGAGAGAUGUCCUCAAUUUUCUGUUUUUAAAAUAGUUGAGAAAGAGUUUACUUCUGAGGUAUUGUGGGAGAGGUCAAGUAUAGGGAAUUUAGGAGAAAGGAUUGCUUUACUGACGAGCAGUUGGAGACCUGAAUUCUAGUGCAGGUCCUAGUAGUGUUACAGAAUCCUAGAAUCUCAGAUUUUGAAGAACCAUUAGGGACCAUUUGGCAUUUGGUUGGAUGUUUCUUGUGAUGGAGAACUAACUGCUACCUAACAGCAUUAUCAUCAAGGACAACAAUAAUAACAAGAAUAGCUGACAUGUAUAUAACAUUUAAUAGCUAUUCUUCUAAGCACUUUACCCAUUCAUUUUAUUCUCAUUCAUUUUAUUCUCUCAGAACCCAGAGAAGUUCUGAGGCCCUGAGCUGUUAAGUAAUUUGGCCCAAGGCCCUUCAGUAGCUAAGUCGCAGUCAGAAUCUGUAUUCUUAACCAUUAUGCCUCAUAAGGAACCCAUUCUGUGCCUAGCUAUAUUUAUAAAAAAAUCAUUUUUUAUAGAGAAUCGAAAUAUAUUUCUAACUCAGUUUUCUGCUUACACUUAUUUGUACCUUUGUCUGUCCUUUAAAAUCUUACAACAAAGGUUUGUACAUCAAAGAAGUUUGUACAUCAAAUGUAGACCUUUAAGUAUUUGAAUAUAACUAUCUCUUUUGUUCCAUGAGAGUGCUAGUUUUCUAUCUAUCAGGAUAAACAUUCUCACUUCUCUGGGACUGUUGACAGCUUAGUUCUUUGCAGUUAUACUUUGUUUUUCUAUUAAAUACAGGAGUUGACCCAGAACUAAAAGGCUUUUGUUUGUUAGUUUUUACAGUUUUUUAUCCUGUGAUUCCAUGUAGGGGCAAAUAAAUACAUUACUUUUACCCAGCAUUGUGUUUAGAAAUGGAAGGGAGGGAGAGGGAGACAGAUCACAAUUGAAUUAGUGAGGUAAAUCUUUACUUAAGAAUACAUCAGAUUCUAAGAAGACCAAAUUCAAUUUAUCUGCUACCUUUGAGUGAACAAAGAAAUGUGUUUAUUGCUUAUAUAUGCUUUCCAUUGAUGUAGAAGAAUAUUUAUUUUUAGAAAUUUUGGACUAACCUUACCUCUUCAGAGCUCUUAAGACUAUUUAUUGUGUGGAUCCCAAUUCAAACAGAUCAAGCUCAAAUGCUUCCCCAAGCUCAGCAGACAUUAUUUCAUAUAUUGCACCCCAACAUACCGUGUUUAACUCUUCUGUCUUUUGUUUUUGCUGCUAUUUAUAUUUUCAUUUGAUAUGUUUUAUAAUGUUUGUCCCUAGAGUUGUCCUUUAUUGAAUACAAGGGUCUUUUCUCAAUUGCUAUAAUGUCUGUUAUAAUCCAGAUGUAGAUAUUUGAACAAUGUGAAUACACAUCUUUAUGUGUAUUAUCUUAAGUGCUGUUUAAUAUUAAAGUGUAUUUAAAAUGACCAGAUUUCAAAUUAGUGCAGUUUUGAGAUAUUUGUUACUUAGGUCUUACCAGGUAUGCACCUGUGUUGUAAUUUAUGUUGGUAUGCUUUAGAUCUGGUGUUUCCUUGGUUUUUUGCUGCCGUAUCUCAAGUGGCUAGAUUUGAUAUUUCCUUAUCCCUGAUCUGACAUUUUUAUGUGACCAAGUUUCUGUAGCAUUUUGUUGAACACCAGGUACUGUUGCCACUGUGCCUAACCCUACCAUCUCCACUCCAUGCUAUCUCUUACUUUACAUGUAAAUGACAGUUAUUUUAGUCACUUUUCACAAUGUGAAAUGUUUCUAGGACACUUGUCCAUGAACAGGAGCAAAUUGAAAUUUGAAAUGAUCACAUCUGAUUGACUUGUAAUUAGAGGAUGUUUGGGUGUGGUUGAAUGUAUUGUAUCUGUACUUAUUGAAAAACCUGAAAGACCUGGACUCACUAUGUUUUGUUCUGCAACCUGGUUAGUCAGCUACGUGGAAGUGACCAGAGAGUUGAAAGCCAAUUUAUUUAUCCCUCCAAGAUGAAUAAAACAUAAAUUACUCUUCUAGCAAAAA
rnacentral:lncRNA from 1 species